CAGAGAAGGUGAGACAGCCCGCUUGUAACACACAAAUAAUAUAGAAAUGCCAAAAAUUAUGUUUCACCAUUGUUCUGCCUGUCAAAAACUUCCUAC